rnacentral:rRNA from 1 species
CCCUUAGAUGUUCUGGGCGGCCCGCGCACUACAAUGGCGCUUUCAGCGAGUUCCUAUGUUGAAUUUUCCUGGGUAUUCUUGGAAGCGGCGUCUUGACUUGGGAUAGAUCCUUGUAAUUGUUGGUUUUGAACGAGGAAUUCCUUGUAAUCGCGGUUGAUCAGCUCGCGUUGAAUACGUCCCUGCCCUUUGUACACACCGCCCGUCGCUCCUACCGAUGAAUCGUCCGGUGAAGUUCACAGAGUGGCGGUUCGUGGAGUUACUCGCGAAGUGAAAUGGACCUCACGAUUUAGAGGAAGGAGAAGUCGUAACA